rnacentral:ncRNA from 1 species
UAUAGUCGCCCCGUCGUCGGUUCCCACAUUCCGUGGGACGUAAAAGGGAACGCGGUGAGGGAUUUUCCCCGAUUCCGCGGCUGCCCCCGCAACUGUAAGCGGCGAGCACCCCUCCGUAAGGCCACUGGAGCGAAGCUUCCGGGAAGGCCGAGGGAAGGCGUCGACCCGCGAGCCAGGAGACCUGCCGCCGGCUCAACCUUGAA